CCUACGGGAGGCAGCAGUGAGGAAUAUUGGUCAAUGGCCGCAAGGCUGAACCAGCCAAGCCGCGUGAAGGACGAAGGUGCCAAGCAUUGUAAACUUCUUUUGUCAGGGGGCAAAAUCAGCCUCGAGAGCCUUACCGAGGGUACUUGAAGAAAAAGCAUCGGCUAACUCCGUGCCAGCAGCCGCGGUAAUACGGAGGAUGCGAGCGUUAUCCGGAUUUAUUGGGUUUAAAGGGUGCGUAGGCGGACGGUCAAGUCAGCGGUAAAAGCGCGGGGCUCAACCCCGGCGAGCCGUUGAAACUGGUUGUCUUGAGAGGGCGAGAGGUAUGCGGAAUGCGUGGUGUAGCGGUGAAAUGCUUAGAUAUCGCGCAGAACUCCGAUUGCGAAGGCAGCAUACCGGCGGUGAUCUGACGCUGAGGCACGAAAGCGUGGGUAUCGAACAGGAUUAGAUACCCUAGUAGUC
rnacentral:rRNA from 1 species